UCAUUUCCGCUACUCUAUCUCUAACUUUCUUUCUCCUUUCACUUUAUUCACAGAGAAAACAUCCCAACAAUCCCAUCAAAAUUCAUCAGAUUUGAAAAUCAAGAAUGAUAAAAGAAUGAAGAAAACCCAAUUUUUGUUUCCAUUUCCUUAUCCCUUUGUACUCAUGAUAAAGCAAAAACGAUGAUGACGUUGUAGGAGGAGAUACAAUAGUCAUAGAGAUCCAAAUCUAAGAAGUUAAGGAAAUCAAUUGUGAAGAAUAAACUGUUAUUGAAGUAGAUCAUGAUACCAUUGAUUUUCUUGUGCUUUGGGUAUGGAUGUUAAUCGCCCCUGUAAGUAGAUUGAAGAAAUUGGAAGGCACGAUUUCAUUAAACAUCUUGUGAUUUUUUUUUUCAUUGGAAUGAAAUUUGUGAUUUUGAAUUUAGGUGUUUUUUCUUUUCCUGUGUAGAUUCUUAAAGAAAUUUUGUUCAAUUAAGUUGUUAAGAAUUGCGAGGAAUAAAAAGGAAAAUGUAAGCAUUUGGGUCGAGUUUGAAUCUCCUGAGGUUUGUACUUAUACUUACUCUUUGUGUUUUCCUUCUAUUUACAACUUGUUUCAAGUUUGUGUUGUUUUAAUGAAUGUAAUUAUAAAACGUAGGUUGCAAAGAUUGUUGUAGUCUGUAUGCAUUAAUUUGUCUGCUCUUUGAGCACUUGUUGCAAGUUCAUAUUAUUCAAACAGAAAAAGUUCAUCCUUAAGGCUAAGUCCUAUGGGUUUAGAUAUCUAGCCGAUAGAUUGGCCAUCCACGUCAGUUAGGGAAACCUCCUAAGUCCCUAUGGGAUGGCUAAUCUAGCAGCUAGAUUAGAAGACCACGUCAGCGGGACCACCAUCUAGCGCUGUAAAUCUCAGCAGUUAGAUCAGAAAAUUUUCUCUCAGCGUUCUGAAUGGUUCAGCGUUUUGGUUACUUUUUGAGCGCUGAACGGUUCAACUUUUAAAACUAGAUGCUAGUUGAACUGCGAGCAAAUGUUAGGAGAGAGAAGUAACAGGUACAUGUGUUAACUUUUUUCUCACACUUAUUUUUUGAUUUGCAACACUUUUUGGCCAAUCUAACAGCUCAAUCUAGUCCAUAGGACUUGGCCUGAUUGUAAGCAGUUAUUUCUGUUUGCUUAGUACUUGUUACAAUAUAAAAGGUUGUACUAGAUUUGAAGCUUUUACCAUGUGCAUUGGGAAUACCGAAUACAAACUUAUAUAAUUUUUAUAUAACAAACCAUCUCAAGUCAUAUUUCUACCACAAUCCAUGAAUAGCAGAACUAAAGCAGAAUUCCCAAGAUAUUUUCAUUUCACUCUUACUUGUUUAUG